rnacentral:rRNA from 1 species
UGGGGAAUAUUGGACAAUGGGCGCAAGCCUGAUCCAGCAAUGCCGCGUGUGUGAAGAAGGCCUUCGGGUUGUAAAGCACUUUUAUCAGGAGCGAAACGCUGUCGGCUAAUACCCGGCGGAACUGACGGUACCUGAGGAAUAAGCACCGGCUAACUUCGUGCCAGCAGCCGCGGUAAUACGAAGGGUGCAAGCGUUAAUCGGAAUUACUGGGCGUAAAGCGUGCGUAGGCGGUUUCUUAAGUCUGCUGUGAAAUCCCCGGGCUCAACCUGGGAAUGGCAGUGGAUACUGGGAGGCUAGAGUGUGUCAGAGGGUGGUGGAAUUCCCGGUGUAGCGGUGAAAUGCGUAGAGAUCGGGAGGAACAUCAGUGGCGAAGGCGGCCACCUGGGACAACACUGACGCUGAGGCACGAAAGCGUGGGGAGCAAACAGGAUUAGAUACCCUGGUAGUCCACGCCCUAAAGCGAUGCGAACUGGAUGUUGGUCUCAACUCGGAGAUCAGUGUCGAAGCUAACGCGUUAAGUUCGCCGCCUGGGGAGUACGGUCGCAAGACUGAAACUCAAAGGAAUUGACGGGGUCAUAGCUGUUUCC